GGGACACGGAGGUCAGUGAGAGGAGGUCAGUGAGAGGAGGCCAUGAAGGUGAUGAUGAUGAUGCUGUUCAACAUCCUGCAUGACAUCACUGUCUACAUCCUGUAUAUUGUCAUAGCGUGUUUUGCUGUGGCGUCGUGCAUAUUAAAAUUGUUAAAAAAAACUAUCGUAGCCCCAACUAAAUGAGUCAAACGUUUAAACCAAUUAGAUUGCCAGAAAGCGGCCCAUUUAGAGAGCAGGAAGCCACACGUUGACCAGAUCCUAUUAGAGCCACUUCCUACGUCCUCUCAAACAGAGGAGGACAAAACACGUGUGAGUGGGGGGAGCCAGGCGGUUAAUCCAUCCAGGGACGUUAGGGAAGUUAGGAGACGCCAUGCAGCAGAACCCCCCCGCUGAGACAGCCAAGGUACAGCUGGUCGUGUUACAUCCUAACCUGCAGGACCGGCCCAUUUGGGAGGGGUGGGGGGUCCAGAGCCAUCCAGAAAAGAAACAACCUUUGCUGCUAGACCACCGUGUACCGCGACCGUGUCCAACAGCAUGUGCCUUCAUGGUUAGGACCGUGCAACACUCUCACAGGAGGUAGUGGAUGACAAGCCCUGGACUAGGAGGGAAAGCACCCGUAUGGAUGCUGGGAGUCGAUACCAGGAGGAAUGUGGAUGAAACCCUACAGACGGUUGAUAUUUUCAUCUAGAUUUGGCACAAGGAAAGGAAAGAAGCUAUAUCGGAAUAUGCUAAUUGGAAAAAAUGUUUUGAAUGCCUGAAUAACAAUGCUCGACUGUUGACAAUGGGGCAUUGAGACGGUCUCAGUUGGCCCGUGACGGGUCCUUCACAAGGCCUCGGCUGUUGGGAACAGCCUCCCACUGCGGGG